CCCCACGUCAACGUCGCGAUAGAGAGGCAAAUGGGUCUGUUCGGGAGCGAGAGCAGGACAUGCACUCGAAGGCGGGGCACUAGCGAGACAAACGGCGGUGCCCACUCCACUGCUCAUUCGUCUUUCGCUUAGCCUCCGCUAUGUAAACCGGCCUUGUUGUGAAUCUAAACAAAAUCGGUCAGUCGUCGUUUUGUUGCCGUAAGAGCAGCGCGUCGGAGGUUCCGCGCUUUCGGGUUGAGCAUGUUGCGACAGUGAACGUAGCCGGCAAAAUGCACGCGUUGUUUGGUGAACAGAGCCCGUAUGCGUAUCGUGGAGGAGCCGCCGGUGGUUACUCAGCCGGUGUGACACCUUAUGCCUAUGAACAAUACCGCUAUGGAUAUGGAGCUCCCUACCUUCACCCCCAUCAACAGCAUGUUGGUGCACCAAAAGACAUGGUCAAGCCGCCUUACUCUUAUAUAGCACUUAUAGCUAUGGCCAUACAAAACGCUCCUGAACGACGUAUAACUCUCAACGGUAUUUACCAAUUUAUUAUGGAAAGAUUUCCUUAUUACAGAGAAAACAAACAAGGCUGGCAAAAUUCCAUAAGACACAAUCUAAGCCUCAAUGAGUGCUUUGUGAAAGUGGCAAGAGAUGAUAAAAAACCUGGUAAAGGCAGUUACUGGACGCUUGAUCCUGAUUCAUAUAAUAUGUUUGAUAAUGGCUCGUACUUACGCCGUCGGCGUCGCUUUAAAAAGAAAGAUGCGCUUAGAGAAAAGGAAGAAGCUUUAAAGAGACAACAGCAGUUACAAGAAGCUCAGGAGGCACUCACUGCGCAGGAAGCACUGACUGCAUCGGACACUCUAGGACAACAACGUGAUGUUAAGCCUGAUGUCAAACCAAGAAUCUUCGAAUGUCGACCGAAACGAGAACCCGGCGCAGACUGUGCAAGAUAUGACAAGCCUGUCGACGGUCUUGAUGACUUCAGUGAACCUCGACUUCCAGCAUCCGCAGUUUAUUGUUCACCUCAACCUUAUUCGUUGGUGGCCGAGGAAUUUCGUGCCGCUACAUCAGGAUGGUAUGCGGCGCCCGAACCUCCGGCGGAGCAACUGCCUCCGGCGUUCCGCGACCUCUUUGAGCCGCCAAGCUGCCAACUAGCCGGAUUCCGCAGUGGUUCACCCGUACCAGACGCGUACCGUGCGUCGCCACCGCCACAUCACCAUUAUCGCACACCGGCACCUUCUUACUACCAUCACCAAGCCUGCGUCGCCGCCGGUCCUGCGCCAGCACAUAAGUCCUACUGAGACCAAGCUCUCAGGAGGCCGGCAUCGCUCGGCGCCGAACGGAUUUAGCCGCACGCGUCAGUUCCAGAGCGGAUAAAUAUAGCGCAGUAGCCGGAGAUGCCGUGGAGGCAAGUGGCGGCGCGUCGAUAACCACUGUUUACAGAUCGGCGGCCGACCCUGCCGCCUCCCGCUCCGUUCACACCUAUAGGUAUGGCGGAACAAGAAGAUAGCGGGAGGCUGAGUGCAGGGGUGACGCGAGUAUUUAACGUGUCUGGAAGAGAUGGCGACAUAGUGUUGUAAGAACUUUAUUCCGCGUGGUGCACAUAUUGUAGCAAACGUCUCGUAUUUAUAAAGUUCAAGCUAUCAUCGUAUCUCCAUAAGAGAUAUUAACGAAUGAUGGCACCCGAAGACUUAUUUUAGUAUGUAUAUUCGUUUACCUAUGAACUUACUAUAAUUAAUAGAUAAGACGAAAACCGAUAAUUCCGAAAUAACGUAGCGUUCAUUAAUGUCGUAGGUAAGUAGGCCAGGACAUACAUAAGUUACAGUAUUACCCGUUAAAACAGUAUUAUGUAUACCCACAUGAUCUGUAAACAAAUAUUACUAAUUAGAUAAAUGUAAAUAUUUAGUCAUUAAAACCUAGUAAUUGUAUGAGGUGUAGAUUUUCCCCUCUGAAAAAAAUAAUAGUUUUUCUGAAAACAUAUUUAGGGGAUGUGUUGUUAUUCUAGUCUGCUACUUUAGGCAAAUUAUUUGUGUAAUAGAUAUCUAUAUACUUACAGAAACAGGAGAAAAUAUAAAAACGAAACAAACUACCUAUGCACAUGGAUUUAGAUAGCAACGAACGAAACUAUAACAUAAAGUAACAUAUUAACUAAAACAAUAUUAUUGUCAAUGCAUUGUAUCUAUUAUAUUGUUAUCUAUUAAAUAUUUUUAAAAACGACGAGUGAAUAAUUUUCCUACCCUGAAUAGGUGAUUGUAAUUUACAGCAGGCAGACAUCAAACUAAAAAAUGAACGUAGUAUAUUGAAUAAAUUAUAUACGUAUGUUAAUCAAUACAAUUAAGGUUAGCAAUUAGUAGAAUUGUAUAUUAAGACACGAACAAAUACGAACAGCCAGUCUCUUUUAACUAUAAUGUCCUACGCAAAGAAAUACUAUGUAUCACUUCACUUUACUUAUAGUAUCAUGUUGAAACUGAGACGAGGUAUUAUUUAAAUCAAAAGCAUAGGUUUUAGUGUAUAAAAACAGCAUUUUUCGUAGCGUAGGUGAUAAUUAGUGAAUCUGUAAAUAAAAAUGUAUUUUGAUGGAAUUCUUCCCUUGGAAAUUAGCAAAAAUAAACAAUAUAUUAUAUAGAUUAGACAGGAAUCAAAAAGGUAUCAUUAUGAUGAAACAUGUUUAAGAAGUCAAUAAAAAUCGUGAGCGCUAAUAGCGUGUCUUUGUAAGUUCGUUUAUAUACGUAUAUGAUAUUAUUGUAUCUGAUGAACAUGUUCUUUAUUCAUAAUAACUAUUUAUUAGAUACAAAGCAAUCUAACUACAUCGUUCAGUUACAAAAACUAGCUUGUAAAAUGUAAGUGCUAACUUCAAUCAUGUCUCUAACGUAAACCGAUAAUUUAUACGUAACUAUAAUUAUUAAGCAUUAUCGUACAUACUUACUCAAUUCCAUGAAAUACCCACAACAGAUAAUACAUAUUAUAAAUAUGGAGAUUUAUGUAAUUAAAUGAAUUGUAAUUUAAGUUAAAUAAAUACUUGUUCAUACAAUAUUGUCGGGAACGAAAAGAUCUGCAGAUUACGCAGAACAAUAAAAUAAAUAUUCGCCUCGGGGAAUAUUUAGUGCUGUGUAUUUUCUGGAUGUUAUGUAGAAGUAAUAUUUUAAUGCAUUUCUUACCUUCAUAAAGUGAAUACAAGUUAUUACAUCUUCUGCUAAAUUCAGAAUCUCGCUACACUGCACAAAAGUACAUACAUACCUAGCAUGUGAACUUACAUAGCUAAUUAAAUAUGUAAGUGCAUACAUAAUUAUGUAUCAACAUUAUGUACUUAUAGGCACGUGUUUUUACUAUAGUAAAAUGUACUUCAGCAAUAUUGUCAUACUUAGUUCACAAUGCAUCAUUUAUUGUUUCACAUGUAAUAAUAAAAUAUUAGAUGACCUACCUAUUAGCUGAUAAAUUUGUGAUAAUUAUCGUAAUCGUGUGUACAUAAAUGUAUUUAAUAAUAAAUGUUUAUUUGUAUUUAGCA